AGUGAACGCUGGCGGUAGGCCUAACACAUGCAAGUCGAACGGCAGCACAGUAAGAGCUUGCUCUUACGGGUGGCGAGUGGCGGACGGGUGAGGAAUACAUCGGAAUCUACUUUUUCUUGGGGGAUAACGUAGGGAAACUUACGCUAAUACCGCAUACGACCUACGGGUGAAAUCAGGAGAUCUUCGGACCUUGCGCGAUUGAUUGAGCCGAUGUCGGAUUAGCUAGUUGGCGGGGUAAAGGCCCACCAAGGCGACGAUCCGUAGCUGGUCUGAGAGGAUGAUCAGCCACACUGGAACUGAGACACGGUCCAGACUCCUACGGGAGGCAGCAGUGGGGAAUAUUGGACAAUGGGCGAAAGCCUGAUCCAGCCAUACCGCGUGAGUGAAGAAGGCCUUCGGGUUGUAAAGCCCUGUUGUUGGGAAAGAAAAGCAGCAGGUUAAUACCCCGCUGUUCUGACGGUACCCAAAGAAUAAGCACCGGCUAACUUCGUG
rnacentral:rRNA from 1 species